rnacentral:lncRNA from 1 species
CCACGAAGGCCUGGACAAUGCGGUCCCAGCGCUGCGCUAGGACAUGGGCAGGGCCCCACUUCCUCCUUCCUGCAGGGAUAUCCUUUCCUAUAGAAGAGAGGCAUCGUCUAACAAGGAAGCUGAGAAGACCCACAGGAAAGGCAGAGCACUUGGCAGAAACGUCAUGGAUAAGCAGAGGUGUGAGUUCAAAGCCAGUCUGGUAUACAGAGUGAGUUCUAGGACAGCCUGGGCUGCACAGAGAAACCCUGACUCUAAAACCAAGAUGAAACAAAACAAAUGAAUGAAGUAAAACAAACAAAACCCCCA